AGAGUUUGAUCAUGGCUCAGAUUGAACGCUGGCGGCAGGCCUAACACAUGCAAGUCGAGCGGUAGCACAGAGAGCUUGCUCUCGGGUGACGAGCGGCGGACGGGUGAGUAAUGUCUGGGAAACUGCCUGAUGGAGGGGGAUAACUACUGGAAACGGUAGCUAAUACCGCAUAACGUCGCAAGACCAAAGUGGGGGACCUUCGGGCCUCAUGCCAUCAGAUGUGCCCAGAUGGGAUUAGCUGGUAGGUGGGGUAACGGCUCACCUAGGCGACGAUCCCUAGCUGGUCUGAGAGGAUGACCAGCCACACUGGAACUGAGACACGGUCCAGACUCCUACGGGAGGCAGCAGUGGGGAAUAUUGCACAAUGGGCGCAAGCCUGAUGCAGCCAUGCCGCGUGUGUGAAGAAGGCCUUCGGGUUGUAAAGCACUUUCAGCGGGGAGGAAGGCGAUAAGGUUAAUAACCUCAUCGAUUGACGUUACCCGCAGAAGAAGCACCGGCUAACUCCGUGCCAGCAGCCGCGGUAAUACGGAGGGUGCAAGCGUUAAUCGGAAUUACUGGGCGUAAAGCGCACGCAGGCGGUCUGUCAAGUCGGAUGUGAAAUCCCCGGGCUCAACCUGGGAACUGCAUUCGAAACUGGCAGGCUAGAGUCUUGUAGAGGGGGGUAGAAUUCCAGGUGUAGCGGUGAAAUGCGUAGAGAUCUGGAGGAAUACCGGUGGCGAAGGCGGCCCCCUGGACAAAGACUGACGCUCAGGUGCGAAAGCGUGGGGAGCAAACAGGAUUAGAUACCCUGGUAGUCCACGCUGUAAACGAUGUCGAUUUGGAGGUUGUGCCCUUGAGGCGUGGCUUCCGGAGCUAACGCGUUAAAUCGACCGCCUGGGGAGUACGGCCGCAAGGUUAAAACUCAAAUGAAUUGACGGGGGCCCGCACAAGCGGUGGAGCAUGUGGUUUAAUUCGAUGCAACGCGAAGAACCUUACCUGGUCUUGACAUCCACAGAACUUUCCAGAGAUGGAUUGGUGCCUUCGGGAACUGUGAGACAGGUGCUGCAUGGCUGUCGUCAGCUCGUGUUGUGAAAUGUUGGGUUAAGUCCCGCAACGAGCGCAACCCUUAUCCUUUGUUGCCAGCGGUCCGGCCGGGAACUCAAAGGAGACUGCCAGUGAUAAACUGGAGGAAGGUGGGGAUGACGUCAAGUCAUCAUGGCCCUUACGACCAGGGCUACACACGUGCUACAAUGGCAUAUACAAAGAGAAGCGACCUCGCGAGAGCAAGCGGACCUCAUAAAGUAUGUCGUAGUCCGGAUUGGAGUCUGCAACUCGACUCCAUGAAGUCGGAAUCGCUAGUAAUCGUAGAUCAGAAUGCUACGGUGAAUACGUUCCCGGGCCUUGUACACACCGCCCGUCACACCAUGGGAGUGGGUUGCAAAAGAAGUAGGUAGCUUAACCUUCGGGAGGGCGCUUACCACUUUGUGAUUCAUGACUGGGGUGAAGUCGUAACAAGGUAACCGUAGGGGAACCUGCGGUUG
rnacentral:rRNA from 1 species